CCCUUAGAUGUUCUGGGCCGCACGCGCGCUACAAUGAUGAAUUCAACGAGUUUAUAACCUUGGUUGAAAAGCCUGGGUAAUCUUUUGAACUUUCGUCGUGAUGGGGCUAGACCCUUGCAAUUAUUGGUCUCCAACGAGGAAUUCCUAGUAAACGCAAGUCAUCAGCUUGCAUUGAUUACGUCCCUGCCCUUUGUACACACCGCCCGUCGCACCUACCGAUUGAAUGGUCCGGUGAAAUCUUCGGAUUGAGACUUUGAUUUCUUCACGGAAAACGCUGUUUUAAAAAGUUGAUUAAACCUUACCAUUUAGGGGAAGGUGAAGUCGUAACA
rnacentral:rRNA from 1 species